rnacentral:rRNA from 1 species
GAUGAACGCCGGCGGCGUGCCUAAUACAUGCAAGUCGAGCGAACGGACGAGAAGCUUGCUUCUCUGAUGUUAGCGGCGGACGGGUGAGUAACACGUGGAUAACCUACCUAUAAGACUGGGAUAACUUCGGGAAACCGGAGCUAAUACCGGAUAAUAUUUUGAACCGCAUGGUUCAAAAGUGAAAGACGGUCUUGCUGUCACUUAUAGAUGGAUCCGCGCUGCAUUAGCUAGUUGGUAAGGUAACGGCUUACCAAGGCAACGAUGCAUAGCCGACCUGAGAGGGUGAUCGGCCACACUGGAACUGAGACACGGUCCAGACUCCUACGGGAGGCAGCAGUAGGGAAUCUUCCGCAGUGGGCGAAAGCCUGACGGAGCAACGCCGCGUGAGUGAUGAAGGUCUUCGGAUCGUAAAACUCUGUUAUUAGGGAAGAACAUAUGUGUAAGUAACUGUGCACAUCUUGACGGUACCUAAGCAGAAAGCCACGGCUAACUACGU